ACUCGUGCUUGGAAUCAAACUUGGAUCCUCUGCAAGAACAAGUGUUCCUUAACAAUGAGCCAUCUCCAUCUGGUUUUCAGUAUGAUUUAGUUUCUUGUACUGGGGUUUUAGUAAAGGAUGCUAAAUCCCGGCAGGUAAAAGUCUUUGAAAUAACAGUUCAUUAGUUUAAAGUAGUCCACACACUGGCAGCUCUCAAAGAGGGGUAUCCUGAGGCCCUAACAGGCCCUGCCCAGGUAAAGCACAAAUGGGGGUUGGCUGUGGAUGGACUGCCAACCUGGGCUGAAGAUGAGGGAGACACUUCCCAGUGAGCAGUGUCAUGGGCAGAGGCCAGCAAACUUGUGACGUGGGAGGAGUGUUGUCACUCUGGAGGUCCACAGGGAUAAGGAAGAAGCUUUUGAAAGGGAAUUGUCGGGGUUGGGGAUUUAGCUCAGUGGUAGAGCGCUUGCCUAGGAAGCGCAAGGCCCUGGGUUCAGUCCCCAGCUCCAAAAAAAAAAAAAAAAAAAAAAGGGAA
rnacentral:lncRNA from 1 species